AUAAAGAAUUAGUGACUUUCGUUAACAAUUAAUUGUCAUUCUUUUCAGAAGUUUUAAUGUACAAAAAACGUCUUAGAACUCCCCGACGGUUUUAACCUACAGAUCCUUAAAUAGAUCGAAAUAAAGAGUUUUCUGCAUUGUCGGUUUUGAUUUGAGGGUUAUUCCGUUGUCUAUCUGUUCAUUAUUGAGAAUCUUGUUUCUCUCCGACAACAAUCAGAGUCUUAGAAAUAUUCAAUUGGUUUGUUUUUGUUACCUACUGAGAACCAAAAUACACUGGAAUAGGAAGACGACUUUAAGAUUCAAUUUAUGAUUUUAAAUAGUCCAAUAAACAUGAAACACAUA